GGGAAUAUAGCUUAGUGGCAGAGCACUUGCCUGGUACGCAUGAGGCCCUGGUUUCAAUCCCCAGUACCA
rnacentral:tRNA from 1 species